AGAGAAUGUCAGAUCCAGAAGGAGUCUGAGGAAUUGCUCCACGGGUUUAGGACCUCCCCUGCUUUGUGUAUGGGGACUGUUCUUGAAAUUAUGGGGAAAACUUGAUAUUGGAUAAGACCUGUGAUUCAGGGCCUCUCUGACUCUUCUGGAUGUCAUCCUUGGUCUGCAGUUCUGUUUAAAACUUCACGUCAAAGUAAAAAUUUCCCCAGACAAAGUUAAACAGCAAAGCAAUAUGCUAUGAUAUCUAUGGGACAGUAUGCCAGCUUCCUUCACU